UACGGGGGGGAGCAAGCGUUGUUCGGAUUUACUGGGCGUAAAGGGCGCGUAGGCGGUCAGCACAAGUCAGUUGUGAAAUCUCCGAGCUUAACUCGGAACGGUCAACUGAUACUGUGCGACUAGAGUGCGGAAGGGGCAACUGGAAUUCUCGGUGUAGCGGUGAAAUGCGUAGAUAUCGAGAGGAACACCUGCGGCGAAGGCGGGUUGCUGGGCCGACACUGACGCUGAUGCGCGAAAGCCAGGGGAGCGAACGGG
rnacentral:rRNA from 1 species